rnacentral:rRNA from 1 species
GUCCUAGCCGUAAACGUUGGGCACUAGGUGUGGCGGAUUCAUUGACAUCUGCCGUGCCGCAGCAAACGCAUUAAGUGCCCCGCCUGGGGAGUACGGUCGCAAGGCUAAAACUCAAAGGAAUUGACGGGAGCCCGCACAAGCGGCGGAGCAUGCGGCUUAAUUCGAUGCAACCCGAAGAACCUUACCUGGGCUUGACAUCAUGGGAAAAACCGUAGAGAUACGGUGUGCGUAAGCGCCCAUGACAGGUGGUGCAUGGCUGUCGU